ensembl:snoRNA
GUGUGAUGAUUAUUUUUCUUUAGUCGGAUACCCCUUCACUCGCAAUCAUGAGUGAAAUCCCCUUUCUGACACGC